rnacentral:rRNA from 1 species
CGGGAAGCCACCUGGCGACAGGGGGCGGAACCCGAAAGCCUGUCUCAGUUCGGAUUGGAGUCUGCAACCCGACUCCAUGAAGCUGGAUUCGCUAGUAAUCGCGCAUCAGCCACGGCGCGGUGAAUACGUUCCCGGGCCUUGUACACACCGCCCGUCACGCCAUGGGAGUUAGGAGUACCCGAAGCCAGUGACCUAACCGCAAGGGAGGAGCUGUCGAAGGUAAGACUGAUGACUGGGGUGAAGUCGUAACAAGGUACC